rnacentral:tRNA from 1 species
GUGGCAGUCGCGCAACGGCAGCGCAUUGGCCUUCCAAGCCAACGGUUGCGGGUUCGAAUCCCGUCUGCCACUCCA